UACGUAGGGGGCAAGCGUUGUCCGGAAUUAUUGGGCGUAAAGCGCGCGCAGGCGGUUCUUUAAGUCUGGUGUAUAAGUGCGGGGCUCAACCCCGUGAGGCACUGGAAACUGGGGAACUGGAGUGCAGAAGAGGAGAGCGGAAUUCCACGUGUAGCGGUGAAAUGCGUAGAGAUGUGGAGGAACACCAGUGGCGAAGGCGGCUCUCUGGCCUGUAACUGACGCUGAGGCGCGAAAGCGUGGGGAGCAAACAGG
rnacentral:rRNA from 1 species